UACGGAGGGUGCAAGCGUUAUCCGGAAUCACUGGGUUUAAAGGGUGCGUAGGCGGCUUGAUAAGUCAGGGGUGAAAGCUUCCCGCUCAACGGGAGAACUGCCUUUGAUACUGUCAGGCUCGAAUUGGGUUGAGGCCGGCGGAAUGUGGCAUGUAGCGGUGAAAUGCUUAGAUAUGCCAUAGAACACCGAUUGCGAAGGCAGCCGGCCAAGCCUUGAUUGACGCUGAGGCACGAAAGCGUGGGGAGCGAACAGG
rnacentral:rRNA from 1 species